rnacentral:lncRNA from 1 species
UGUCAGGGCCCUCACUGUGGAAGGAAGGUCCACAGAAAACAUCCUGGGGUCCUGAGCUGAAGUGUGAUGGGAGGAGUCCUCUGUAUCUCAGUCUGAUCCUGGUCUCCCUCUCGGCCAUGGUCUCACACUAGUGCUGCUGGGAAACCAUCCCUCACAUCCAGUCCUGGCAUCGGGCAGUGACUCUGGUCCAACUGUUGUCCAACUCAAGGGUUUAGCUGCUUAGAUUUUCCUAAAACUUGAAUUUCAUUUUCCUCUAGCCAUGGAAUACAGAUUAAUCCUUUACAAUUAAAAUCCAAG